GAGAGUUUGAUCCUGGCUCAGGACGAACGCUGGCGGCGCGCCUAACACAUGCAAGUCGAACGGAGUUGUGUUGAAAGCUUGCUGGAUAUACAACUUAGUGGCGGACGGGUGAGUAACACGUGAGUAACCUGCCUCUCAGAGUGGAAUAACGUUUGGAAACGAACGCUAAUACCGCAUAACGUGAGAAGAGGGCAUCCUCUUUUUACCAAAGAUUUAUCGCUGAGAGAUGGGCUCGCGGCCGAUUAGGUAGUUGGUGAGAUAACAGCCCACCAAGCCGACGAUCGGUAGCCGGACUGAGAGGUUGAUCGGCCACAUUGGGACUGAGACACGGCCCAGACUCCUACGGGAGGCAGCAGUGGGGGAUAUUGCACAAUGGGGGAAACCCUGAUGCAGCGACGCCGCGUGAGGGAAGACGGUUUUCGGAUUGUAAACCUCUGUCUUUAGGGACGAAAAAAUGACGGUACCUAAGGAGGAAGCCACGGCUAACUACGUGCCAGCAGCCGCGGUAAUACGUAGGUGGCAAGCGUUGUCCGGAAUUACUGGGUGUAAAGGGAGCGUAGGCGGGGAGACAAGUUGAAUGUCUAAACUAUCGGCUUAACUGAUAGUCGCGUUCAAAACUAUCACUCUUGAGUGCAGUAGAGGUAGGCGGAAUUCCUAGUGUAGCGGUGAAAUGCGUAGAUAUUAGGAGGAACACCAGUGGCGAAGGCGGCCUACUGGGCUGUAACUGACGCUGAGGCUCGAAAGCGUGGGUAGCAAACAGGAUUAGAUACCCUGGUAGUCCACGCCGUAAACGAUGAUUACUAGGUGUGGGGGGACUGACCCCUUCCGUGCCGGAGUUAACACAAUAAGUAAUCCACCUGGGGAGUACGACCGCAAGGUUGAAACUCAAAGGAAUUGACGGGGGCCCGCACAAGCAGUGGAGUAUGUGGUUUAAUUCGAAGCAACGCGAGGAACCUUACCAGGUCUUGACAUCGAGCGACGAACCAAGAGAUUGGUUCUUCCUUCGGGACGCGAAGACAGGUGGUGCAUGGUUGUCGUCAGCUCGUGUCGUGAGAUGUUGGGUUAAGUCCCGCAACGAGCGCAACCCUUAUCAUUAGUUGCUACGCAAGAGCACUCUAAUGAGACUGCCGUUGACAAAACGGAGGAAG
rnacentral:rRNA from 1 species